UCCAAGAUCCUGGUCUUCCCCAUCGCAGACUCGCUGUCGCAGGUCAACACGCCCCCCUCCUGGCCUCCCCCGUCGCUCGCCGGCCGCCAGCAGCAGCCUCGGGGUCUCAGGGAGGCCAGCUUCCAGGCGGCGCCCAGCCCCACUCCGGCCGCCUCGACCUGCAGCUCCGGCACACGAUGUACUACGGCUGGAAGGGAAGAUGACGGAUGGCGGGGCCGGCACAGAACUGCACAUCGCCACCUCCUGCUACAGAGUACUGACUCACCCCCGCCCCCAAGUUUUGCACUCCUGGUCCACCACCACCAUUAACGAGACAUGGUAGACUGAUCUCGAUCGUGCCCGCCACUGUCGACUAGCGGCAAGCUAGCAGGUGAUUUGGAGAACAUAAGGGACUUGCGCGAGCGCACAAGGCGGCCAAUUCAUCUAUAGAAACUUUUCUGAUGUAGUCUGAUAAAGAGCACCGUGGAUGGAUAUAUUAUCAUUUUUGGUAAAAUCAAAUCAUAUGUGAUUAUGUGAAACAUCUGGAUCAGAUGCAUUGCACUAUGUCUGAAGCAGCAAAAUGGCGUCAUCCUCGCUUUUGUGUUAGACUGAAGAUUAUUAAUGUGAACUACCAUGAGAAUUCACUUUUUUAUGAAAACCUGUACGUGCGGAUUCUAAAGGUAGCCACCACAAGGAUAAACUACAGAAGUAGAGAAAGCAAGGAGCUAUUCUUCCACUAUCAGGAUGUAGGAACUAGAAAUCAUAUACUCCCUCCGUUCCUAAAUAUAAGUCUUUUUAGAGGUUUUGAUAUGAACUACAUACGGAGCAAAAUCAGAGAAUCUACACUCUAAAGUA